rnacentral:rRNA from 1 species
UGGGGAAUAUUGGACAAUGGGCGCAAGCCUGAUCCAGCCAUGCCGCGUGAGUGAUGAAGGCCCUAGGGUUGUAAAGCUCUUUCAACGGUGAAGAUAAUGACAGUAACCGUAGAAGAAGCCCCGGCUAACUUCGUGCCAGCAGCCGCGGUAAGACGGAGGGGGCAAGCGUUGUCCGGACUCACUGGGCGUAAAGGGCGCGCAGGCGGGACGGCGCGUCGGCGCUGAAAGCGCCCGGCUUAACCGGGCGCGGCGCGGCGAUACGACCGACCUGGAGGCAGGCAGAGGGUGGCGGAAUUCCGGGUGUAGUGGUGAAAUGCGUAGAGAUCCGGAGGAACGCCUGUGGCGCAAGCGGCCGCCUGGGCCUGAUCUGACGCUGAGGCGCGAAAGCGUGGGGAGCGAACCGGAUUAGAUACCCCCGUAGUCC